GACGAUGGCGCCCUCUAGCGGCAGCAGGUAGGCAGUGGGGGUCCUGGGCGUGGCUGUGUGCCCGUGUUCUGGGAGGAUACCUGGCGCCGACCUUGAAGGGACCUGAACGUGAGAGGGAAAAACGCCCGUGAUGCCAAGGCUUGGGCAGCGGACAGCCAAAAUCCUGAAACCCCGAGAUGCUCCCUGUGAUUCACUUUCCAGAGGCCCCUCAAGGCCCCGACGCUGGCCCGGAGGGCGGUCGCUGACUAUCUUGAGACUGAAGCUCACUUUAGGAUCCUGGGCGUUCCUGUCAGUUUUUUUUAUGAAUACAGGGAAAACCAGUGGCUUACUGACAGUUUAGAAACUCCCUGAGGAGGGCCGGGCGCGGUGGCUCGCGCCUGUAAUCCCAGCACUUUGGGAGGCCGAGGCGGGCGGAUCGCCUGAGGUCUGGAGUUCAAGAGUAGCCUGGCCAACAUGGUGAAACUACUAAAAAUACAAAAAAUAGUCUCUACCAAAAAUACAAAAAAUUAGCCGGGCGUGGUGGCGGGCACCUGUAGUCCCAGCUACUCAGGAAGGCUGAGACAAGAGAAUCGCUUGAACUCGGGAGGCAGAGGUUGCGGUGAGCCGAAAUCGUGCCAUUGCGCUCCAGCCUGGGCAACAAGAGUGAAACUCAGUCGCGAAAGAAAGGGAGAAAGGGAGAAAGAGAGGGAGGAAGGAAGGAAGGAAGAAAAGAGAAAGAAAGAGUCUCUGAGGAGCAAGCAAUUCCCUCAGCCAAAGAGCUUCUGCUCUCAAUUCUCGUUUGGUCUUGCUGAGCCACGGCUUGGGGUCUCCUAGAAGCAGCCAUCACAGGUAACCAGUUCUGCCUGCUCAGGAUGGCCCCUGCUGCCCUGACUCAGAGACACUUCCUGUAAGGCAGACAUCUCAUGCAGAGCAGAGGCCACUACAGUCAGAAGGAAGGGCCUGGUAGCCUCAGAGGCACAGCCAAGGGGCUGCAACAAUGGAAAGAAGAUAUUCCACAGGUCCAAGGAUGUGACAUGGAAGCACUCUCUGGGAUGUGGUGGACUCAAAGAGAUCCAUGCAGAUGUGGGUGCUGUCUCUCUUUCUCUGUUCUUCAUAGAGUGUGGCAUGGGUCCUCUCUGCGUGAAAAUAGGUGCCCAGAAUCACACACUUCCAUUCAAAAUAAAUUGUGUCAACCUGCUGAACCACAAAAUGAUUCCCUCGCCAUGGCCCCUAAAGAGCUCUGUGAUAAGAACUGUAUGCUAUUGAUGGAUCUGAAGUCCAAAUUUUGGCAAAAGCAAAGAACACGCCUGAACCAGUCAUUUCUGCAGGUGUUUCUCCUUAAGAUGAGUUUGAAGCCAAUUGGUUAUGUGAAGAAUAGCAAUCAGUUCUUUCUCUCACACUGGAGGAGGGAGAAGCAGAAACGAAAGUUCAAGGGUCAAGCCUCCCAAAAGGCUCUGUUGUAAUCCUAUGCGCUCUUUCAUCGUAUCUAGUGAUGAAUUUGGGUAACUGACACUUUACUCUUUGGCCAUCCAUCCUCGAACUUGAUAAGCAUUUUCAUUUAUGUAAGUUUACUUGUAAUUCUUCCAAAACUUAUCUUCACAUUUCCCAGCAAACUAAUUUCAGACAUUUUAUGUUUUUAUGAUUCUAUUGUGAAAGGAACCUCCAUUUCAAUAUACCCAUUGCAGGUAUAGAUUUUGUGCAUUGCUUUAUGGUGUUGAUUUGUCCAUCUUUUUUAUUCUGCCUGGCUUAUUGUAAUCUUGAUUUUUUAAUUUUUCAAUUGGGUUUUUAAAGUAUGUUAAUGUUAAUAAAUGCAUUUUUAGGUUUCCUUUCCCAA
rnacentral:lncRNA from 1 species